CAAAUUAGAGCUUGAUUAGGAAAGCAUUUUAUUUACAUUAAAAAGUUAUUGUGCAAAUCAAUUUAGUUUGA
rnacentral:tRNA from 1 species